rnacentral:rRNA from 1 species
CGUGAAAUCCUGUCUGAACAUGGGGGGACCACCCUCCAAGCCUAAGUACUCCUCAUCGACCGAUAGUGAACCAGUACCGUGAGGGAAAGGUGAAAAGCACCCCGACGAGGGGAGUGAAACAGUUUCUGAAACCGGACGCCUACAAUCAGUUGGAGGGCCCUUGCGGCCUGACAGCGUACCUUUUGUAUAAUGGGUCAUCGACUUAGUGUAUCUAGCAAGCUUAAGCCGUUAGGUGUAGGCGCAGCGAAAGCGAGUCUUAAUAGGGCGAAUGAGUUAGGUGGAUCAGACCCGAAACCGAGUGAUCUAGGCAUGACCAGGUUGAAGGUGCAGUAACAUGCACUGGAGGACCGAACCCACAUCUGUUGAAAAAGAUCGGGAUGAGUUGUGCCUAGGGGUGAAAGGCCAAUCAAACUCGGAGAUAGCUGGUUCUCUGCGAAAUCUAUUUAGGUAGAGCGUCAUCCGAAUACCCCGGGGGGUAGAGCACUGGAUGGGUAAUGGGGCCUCACCGGCUUACUGAUCCUAACCAAACUCCGAAUACCCGGGAGUACUAGAUGGCAGACACACAGCGAAUGCUAACGUCCGUUGUGGAGAGGGAAACAACCCUGACCUACAGCUAAGGCCCCCAAUUCAUGGCUAAGUGGGAAAGCAGGUGGGACGACCAAAACAACCAGGAGGUUGGCUUAGAAGCAGCCAUCCUUUAAAGAAAGCGUAACAGCUCACUGGUCUAAUUAAGUUGUCCUGCGGCGAAGAUGUAACGGGGCUCAAGCCAUGAGCCGAAGCUUAGGAUGCAAUUUAUUGCAUGGUAGCAGAGCGUAGUGUGACAUAGUUCCACGUCUCCUUAACCACUUCGGUGGCAUUGGAGACAUGGAGCUUUCUGUGAAGCCGGCGCGUGAGCGAUCCGGUGGAGAGAUCACUAGUGAGAAUGAUGACAUGAGUAGCGACAAAGAGUGUGAGAGACACUCUCGCCGAAAGUCCAAGGGUUCCUGCUUAAAGCUAAUCUGAGCAGGGUAAGCCGACCCCUAAGGCGAGGCCGAAAGGCGUAGUCGAUGGGAACCAGGUUAAUAUUCCUGGGCCAGAUGGAAGUGACGGAUCUCGAGGGUAGUUCAUCCUUAUCGGAUUGAAUGGGCUGCUUAGAGGUUCCUGGAAAUAGCUCCAUCGCUAGAUCGUACCCUAAACCGACACAGGUGGACUGGUAGAGAAUACCAAGGCGCUUGAGAGAACUAUGUUGAAGGAACUCGGCAAAAUACCUCCGUAAGUUCGCGAGAAGGAGGCCCGGUUUCUACGCAAGUGGAAGCUGGGGGCACAAACCAGGGGGUGGCGACUGUUUACUAAAAACACAGGGCUCUGCGAAGUCGUAAGACGACGUAUAGGGUCUGACGCCUGCCCGGUGCCUGAAGGUUAAAAGGAGGGGUGAGAGCUCUGAAUUGAAGCCCAGGUAAACGGCGGCCGUAACUAUAACGGUCCUAAGGUAGCGAAAUUCCUUGUCGGGU